AUUGAACGCUGGCGACAUGCCUUACACAUGCAAGUCGAACGAGGGUAGCAAUACCUUAGUGGCGAACGGGUGAGUAAUAUAUCGGAACGUACCCUAGAGUGGGGGACAACCAGUCGAAAGACUGGCUAAUACCGCAUACGAUCUCUGGAUGAAAGUGGGGGACCGCAAGGCCUCACGCUCCUGGAGCGGCCGAUAUCUGAUUAGCUAGUUGGUAGGGUAAAAGCCUACCAAGGCAUCGAUCAGUAGCUGGUCUGAGAGGACGAUCAGCCACACUGGGACUGAGACACGGCCCAGACUCCUACGGGAGGCAGCAGUGGGGAAUUUUGGACAAUGGGGGAAACCCUGAUCCAGCAAUGCCGCGUGAGUGAAGAAGGCCUCCGGGUUGUAAAGCUCUUUUGUCAGGGAAGAAAAGGCUAUGGCUAAUAUCCAUGGCUGAUGACGGUACCUGAAGAAUAAGCACCGGCUAACUACGUGCCAGCCGCCGCGGUAA
rnacentral:rRNA from 1 species